UACGGAGGGGGCUAGCGUUGUUCGGAAUUACUGGGCGUAAAGCGCACGUAGGCGGCUUUGUAAGUUAGAGGUGAAAGCCCAGGGCUCAACCCUGGAAUUGCCUUUAAGACUGCAUCGCUUGAACAUCGGAGAGGUAAGUGGAAUUCCGAGUGUAGAGGUGAAAUUCGUAGAUAUUCGGAAGAACACCAGUGGCGAAGGCGACUUACUGGACGAUUGUUGACGCUGAGGUGCGAAAGCGUGGGGAGCAAAACAGG
rnacentral:rRNA from 1 species